rnacentral:rRNA from 1 species
AGAGUUUGAUCCUGGCUCAGAAUCAACGCUGGCGGCGUGCCUCAGACAUGCAAGUCGAACGAUUAAACUUCUCUUCGGAGAAGAUAUAAAGUGGCGCACGGGUGAGUAACACGUAGGUAAUGUACCUUUGGGUGGGGAAUAACUUAGGGAAACUUAAGCUAAUACCGCAUAAUGCAGCGGCUCCUUCGGGAGACAGUUGUUAAAGAUUUAUCGCCUAAAGAGCAGCCUGCGGCAGAUUAGCUAGUUGGUAAGGUAACGGCUUACCAAGGCUACGAUCUGUAUCCGACCUGAGAGGGUGGUCGGACACACUGACACUGAAUAACGGGUCAGACUCCUACGGGAGGCAGCAGUCGGGAAUUUUGGGCAAUGGGCGAAAGCCUGACCCAGCAACGCCGCGUGAGGGAUGAAGUCUCUCGGGAUGUAAACUUCGAAAGAAUAGGAAGAAUAAAUGACGGUACUAUUUAUAAGGUCCGGCUAACUACGUGCCAGCAGCCGCGGUAAUACGUAGGGACCAAGCGUUGUUCGGAUUUACUGGGCGUAAAGGGCGCGUAGGCGGCGUGACAAGUCAAUUGUGAAAUCUCCGGGCUUAACUCGGAACGGUCAAUUGAUACUGUUGUGCUAGAGUACAGAAGGGGCAAUCGGAAUUCUUGGUGUAGCGGUGAAAUGCGUAGAUAUCAAGAGGAACACCUGAGGUGAAGACGGGUUGCUGGGCUGAUACUGACGCUGAGGCGCGAAAGCUAGGGUAGCAAACGGGAUUAGAUACCCCGGUAGUCCUAGCCCUAAACGAUGAAUACUUGGUGUCUGGAGUUUUAAUUCUCCGGGUGCCGUCGCUAACGUUUUUAGUAUUCCGCCUGGGAGUACGCACGCAAGUGUGAAACUCAAAGGAAUUGACGG